CCUACGGGCGGCAGCAGUGAGGAAUAUUGGUCAAUGGCCGCAGGGCUGAACCAGCCAAGUCGCGUGAGGGAUGACGGUCCUAUGGAUUGUAAACCUCUUUUGUCAGGGAGCACAGGGCGCCACGUGUGGCGUUUUGCGAGUACCUGAAGAAAAAGCAUCGGCUAACUCCGUGCCAGCCGCCGCGGUAAUACGGAGGGAGCAAGCGUUAUCCGGAAUUAUUGGGUGUAAAGGGUGCGUAGAGGGGAAGUCAAGUUGGUUGUGAAAUCCCUCGGCUUAACUGAGGAACUGCAACCAAAACUAACUUUCUUGAGUGAUAGAGAGGAAAGUGGAAUUCCUAGUGUAGCGGUGAAAUGCGUAGAUAUUAGGAGGAACACCAGUGGCGAAGGCGACUUUCUGGACAGUAACUGACGUUGAGGCACGAAAGUGUGGGGAGCAAACAGGAUUAGAUACCCUAGUAGUC
rnacentral:rRNA from 1 species